rnacentral:rRNA from 1 species
GAUGAACGCUGGCGGUAUGCUUAACACAUGCAAGUCGAACGGACUCUUCGGAUUUAGUGGCGGACGGGUGAUUAACUCUUUAUAAUCUGUCUUUUGUUUCGGGACAACCACUGUAACCUGUUUCUAAUACCGUAUUUUCCGAUAUGUAAAAGAUCAAUUGCCUGAAGAUGAGCUCGCGUCUGAUUAGCUAGUUGGUGCGGUAAAGGCUCCCCCCGGCAGCGAUCAGUAGCUGGUCUGAGAGGAUGACCAGCCACACUGGGACUGAGACACGGCCCAGACUCCUACGGGAGGCAGCAGUGGGGAAUUUUCCGCAAUGGGCGAAAGCCUGACGGAGCAAUACCGCGUGAGGGAAGAAGGCUCUUGGGUUGUAAACCUCUUUUCUUAGGGAAGAACAAAAUGACGGUACCUAAGGAAUCAGCAUCGGCUAACUCCGUG